CUUUCUUUGCUGGCGACCGGCGCACGGGUGAGUAACACGUAUCCAACCUGCCCUUUACUCGGGGAUAGCCUUUCGAAAGAAAGAUUAAUACCCGAUAGCAUAAUGAUUCCGCAUGGUUUCAUUAUUAAAGGAUUCCGGUAAAGGAUGGGGAUGCGUUCCAUUAGGUUGUUGGUGAGGUAACGGCCCACCAAGCCUUCGAUGGAUAGGGGUUCUGAGAGGAAGGCCCCCCACAUUGGAACUGAGACACGGUCCAA
rnacentral:rRNA from 1 species